GACGAACGCUGGCGGCGUGCUUAACACAUGCAAGUCGAGCGGUCAGGCCACUUCCGGGGUACACGGGCGGCGAAGGGGUAAGUAACACGAGGGUGACCUGCCCCCAGCUAUGGGAUUAGCAUGGGAAACUGAGUCUGAUACCGGAUCUGAACUUUCUUCGCACGGGGUUUGGUGGAAAGUUUUGUCGGCUGGGGAUGGGCCCGCGGCCUAUCAGCUUGUUGGUGGGGUGAUGUCCUAACAAGGCGACGACGGGUAGCCAGCCGGAGAAGGCGACCGGCCACACUGGGACUGAGGCACGGCCCAGGCUCCUACCGGAGGCAGCAGUAGGGAAUAUUGCGCAAUGGGCGGAAGCCUGGCGCAGCGACGCCGCGUGAGAGAUUGCGGCCAUCGAGGUGUAAAACUCUUACGACCCCGGCGAAUCUGGACGGUAGGGGUAGAAGAAGCACCGGCCAACUACGUG
rnacentral:rRNA from 1 species